UACGGGGGGGGUAAGCGUUGUUCGGAAUUACUGGGCGUAAAGAGCUCGUAGGCGGUGUGUCACGUCGGCCGUGAAAACCUGCAGCUUAACUGUGGGCGUGCGGUCGAUACGGGCAUCACUGGAGUUCGGCAGGGGAGACUGGAAUUCCUGGUGUAGCGGUGAAAUGCGCAGAUAUCAGGAGGAACACCGGUGGCGAAGGCGGGUCUCUGGGCCGAUACUGACGCUGAGGAGCGAAAGCGUGGGGAGCAAACAGG
rnacentral:rRNA from 1 species